rnacentral:rRNA from 1 species
UACGUAGGGUGCAAGCGUUAAUCGGAAUUACUGGGCGUAAAGCGUGCGCAGGCGGUUAUAUAAGACAGAUGUGAAAUCCCCGGGCUCAACCUGGGAACUGCAUUUGUGACUGUAUAGCUAGAGUACGGUAGAGGGGGAUGGAAUUCCGCGUGUAGCAGUGAAAUGCGUAGAUAUGCGGAGGAACACCGAUGGCCAAGGCAAUCCCCUGGACCUGUACUGACGCUCAUGCACGAAAGCGUGGGGAGCAAACAGG